GUGCUUGUUGGCAGCACAUGUUAUAAAAUUGGAAUGGUGCAGAAAAAAAAAAUUAGUACGACCCCUGUGCAAGAAUGACAUGCAAAUACAUAAAAGUGUUCUAUAUUUCU